ensembl:lncRNA novel transcript, antisense to CRAMP1L
CAGCCCCUCGAAGAAGGUGUUCUUGUCCUCUGUGCUCCACGACUCCCACUGCCGCCGGACCUUUUUGCCUUCUUCCUUCUCGCCACCAGAAGACCCUAAGUUCCGGGAGGAGGAGCGCGAGCCCCCUGCAGGGGCAGCAGGGGCAACCCCAGACACAUUUCCAGACGAUGAUCCACCACCUUCAGCUCCUUGGAGAGAAAGCACCUUAGAAAAGGAGCAAGAUUUUAUGUGGAACCAUGUAACAGCACAAUGACGCUGCAGCCUAAGACGCCCUGUCCACAAUGGAGACAGAGAUCCCUUCCCUCUGCAAAAUGAAGCCUCACAUCACA